GAUGAACGCUGGCGGCGUGCCUAAUACAUGCAAGUCGAGCGAACAGACGAGGAGCUUGCUCCUCUGACGUUAGCGGCGGACGGGUGAGUAACACGUGGAUAACCUACCUAUAAGACUGGGAUAACUUCGGGAAACCGGAGCUAAUACCGGAUAAUAUAUUGAACCGCAUGGUGCAAUAGUGAAAGACGGUGUUGCUGUCACUUAUAGAUGGAUCCGCGCCGCAUUAGCUAGUUGGUAAGGUAACGGCUUACCAAGGCGACGAUGCGUAGCCGACCUGAGAGGGUGAUCGGCCACACUGGAACUGAGACACGGUCCAGACUCCUACGGGAGGCAGCAGUAGGGUAUCUUCCGCAAUGGGCGAAAGCCUGACGGAGCAACGCCGCGUGAGUGAUGAAGGUCUUCGGAUCGUAAAACUCUGUUAUUAGGGAAGAACAAAUGUGUACGUAACUAUGCACGUCUUGACGGUACCUAAUCAGAAAGCCACGGCUAACUACGUG
rnacentral:rRNA from 1 species